AUUGCCUCAGUAACGGCGAGUGAAGCGGCAACAGCUCAAAUUUGAAAUCUGGCCCUAGGCCCGAGUUGUAAUUUGCAGAGGAUGCUUUUGGCAAGGUGCCUUCCGAGUUCCCUGGAACGGGACGCCAUAGAGGGUGAGAGCCCCGUCUGGUCGGACACCGAGCCUCUGUAAAGCUCCUUCGACGAGUCGAGUAGUUUGGGAAUGCUGCUCAAAAUGGGAGGUAUAUGUCUUCUAAAGCUAAAUACCGGCCAGAGACCGAUAGCGCACAAGUAGAGUGAUCGAAAGAUGAAAAGCACUUUGAAAAGAGAGUUAAAUAGCACGUGAAAUUGUUGAAAGGGAAGCGUUUAUGACCAGACUUGGCCCGGUUGAUCAUCCACCCUUCUGGGUGGUGCACUCUGCCGGUCCAGGCCAGCAUCAGUUCGCUCCGGGGGAUAAAGGUUUCGGGAAUGUAGCUCCUCCGGGAGUGUUAUAGCCCGUUGCGUAAUACCCUGGGGUGGACUGAGGUCCGCGCUCUGCAAGGAUGCUGGCGUAAUGGUCAUCAACGACCCGUCUUGAAACACGGACCAAGGAGUCGUCUUCGUAUGCGAGUGUUCGGGUGUAAAACCCCUACGCGUAAUGAAAGUGAACGCAGGUGAGAGCUUCGGCGCAUCAUCGACCGAUCCUGAUGUUCUCGGAUGGAUUUGAGUAAGAGCAUACGGGGCCGGACCCGAAAGAAGGUGAACUAUGCCUGUAUAGGGUGAAGCCAGAGGAAACUCUGGUGGAGGCUCGCAGCGGUUCUGACGUGCAAAUCGAUCGUCAACUAUGGGCAUGGGGGCGAAAGACUAAU
rnacentral:rRNA from 1 species